AACAGUCUUUCAUGAGGUCAAGCCUGCCAGUAUCAGAUUCACUUGAAACACAGCGAGUCAAAAAAAAGCCCAGUCUCAGUGUUGGCACUGUGGCAUUAGAAACAAUCAGAAGCUGAGAGACUCUGUAGUAGAUAAAGUUCCGAUUUUUUGUUUGCUUUUUGUUAUUUUUGCCUACCGAGAGAAGAAAGAAGAAGUUGUGAUAGCGUUGAACGUUAGCUUCACCAGAGAGACAGAGAGGUAGGAGUUGGUUUCCCACCGAGACAGAGAGAGAGAGAGAGAGAGAGAGAGAGGCAUCUGCAUCAUGGCGGCGACCCUGUGCCAGGUGAUGGGCUUUGUGCUGAGCCUGCUGGGGGUGGGUGGGAUUAUAGCCGCCACUGGGAUGGACCAGUGGGCAACGGAGGACCUGUACGACAACCCUGUGACCGCCAUCUUCUCCUACUCAGGACUCUGGAGAUCCUGUGUCCGGCAGAGCUCCGGAUUCACAGAGUGCCGACCCUACUUCACCAUCCUGGGGCUACCAGCUAUGCUCCAAGCUGUGCGGGCCCUGAUGAUAGUUGGGAUGGUCCUGGGAGCCAUCGGGUGUCUGGUCGCCAUCUUUGCCCUCAAGUGUCUGAAGAUGGGGAAAAUGGAGGACAGCGUCAAGGCUACCAUGACGUUGACCUCCGGGGUCAUGUUUCUGCUCGGAGGUGUUUGUGGCAUUGCUGGAGUGUCGGUCUUUGCCAACCUAAUCGUUAGCAGCUUCCGGUUCACCACCUAUGCAGGUGGUGAAUAUGGAGGAGGAGGAGUACUGGGGGGAGGAUUAGGAGGAAUGGGAGGCUCUCUCACUCCCAGGUACACCUUUGGCUCCGCCCUCUUUGUGGGGUGGAUAGGCGGAGCCGUGCUGGUUGUGGGAGGGGUUAUGAUGUGUAUGGCCUGUCGGGGGAUGGUUCCAGAGGAGAAGAGACCAAAUUAUGGGAUGGCCUACAAGCCUGCUUCCCAACACACAACAGUUUACAAAGCUAACACCAGACCCAGAACGGCCUAUGACGAUUCUUUCAGAGCCCAGAGUAUGGAUGGGAGACAAUCCAACCAGCAAUAUGUGUGAAGAAUAUAAUAUUAUGUACCGUUAGGUUUUAGAGGUUCUCUGAAACGAAGCAAAACUGUUUUAAUGUAUCGAUGCCAAUCUCAUGUAGCUCUGAAGGGCUUAGAAGAUUUCAUAGAGGGUUGCUAUAGAGGUUUCAUAGAGGGUUGCUAUAGAGGUUUCAUAGAGGGUUGCUAUAGAGGUUUCAUCGAGGGUUGCUAUAGAGGUUUCAUCGAGGGUUGCUAUAGAGAUUUCAUCGAGGGUUGCUAUAGAGGUUUCAUAGAGGGUUGCUAUAGAGGUUUCAUAGAGGGUUGCUAUAGAGG